rnacentral:tRNA from 1 species
GGGCGAUUAGCUCAGUUGGUAGAGCACCUCGUUUACACCGAGGGAGUCGGCGGUUCGAGUCCGUCAUCGCCCACCA